rnacentral:rRNA from 1 species
AUUGAACGCUGGCGGCAUGCCUUACACAUGCAAGUCGAACGGUAACAGGUCUUCGGAUGCUGACGAGUGGCGAACGGGUGAGUAAUACAUCGGAACGUGCCUAGCAGUGGGGGAUAACUACUCGAAAGAGUGGCUAAUACCGCAUGAGAUCUACGGAUGAAAGCAGGGGAUCGCAAGACCUUGUGCUACUAGAGCGGCCGAUGGCAGAUUAGGGAGUUGGUGGGAUAAAAGCUUACCAAGCCGACGAUCUGUAGCUGGUCUGAGAGGACGAUCAGCCACACUGGGACUGAGACACGGCCCAGACUCCUACGGGAGGCAGCAGUGGGGAAUUUUGGACAAUGGGCGCAAGCCUGAUCCAGCAAUGCCGCGUGCAGGAUGAAGGCCUUCGGGUUGUAAACUGCUUUUGUACGGAACGAAAAGCCCUGGGUUAAUACCCUGGGGUCAUGACGGUACCGUAAGAAUAAGCACCGGCUAACUACGUGCCAGCAGCCGCCGUAACAC